CCAGGCGGGAGGCACGAAGCAGCGUUUCUGAAAUAACAACCCCAAACCUUGCCGUGAAGCAAAAGCAUGAAGUAGAAUCGCCGACUAUGAGGAGGCUGGUUGGGUACUAGAGAGUGAGCGCUCUUUGAAACUUCAGCCAAGAGCAGGUCUACGAGAGAAAUGCAGCUUGUCCUGCUUAACCUGGAAAGAAGCAGAGCAUCUGCAAGAGACUUGAGUUCCCAGCUUCAUUAGUAAUCUUAAAUGGGCAAAGUACCAAGACUGUUGCUGGUUCGCAUCAGAAUGACGCAUCUGAGGGAAUUCCUUUUCCAGAGACAGAUGAGGGGACCAACUGAACAUACAAAGCUGUUCUGUGAAAGCAGUUCAAACCACUUAUGUUUAAAUUGCCUUCUGAUAAUUCCUUAAAUAAAAAGAGGG